AUGGCACCUGCCUGUAUUCCCAGCUGCUUCCCAGGCUGAGGUGGGAGGAUUGCUUGAGCCCAGGAGUUUGGCACCAGUGGGCGACAUAGAAAGACCCUUUCCCCCUCCACCCAACUCCCCCACUCCACUCCACGUCCCCCACCCCCAGGCUCAAAAAAAAAAAAAGAUUAUUUUUAUUUAGGCAUUUCCAACAUUAAUACAGACCUCAUGUGUGAAUUUACAUUUCAAUAUGUAGAUCUCCUAUAAGUCACCUGUUAGUUGGCCUGCGCAAAGCCAUCCAUGGCUGCUGCUCUCACCCACCAGGCGGCUGCAGGCCCUAGCCAUUUCAUUUUUAUAUUUUGCUUAUAUGGAGCACCUAUAGAUGUCUUCCCACAACUGAUACAUAUUUUUCUCUUUAGGAUUAUUUUCUUACAGUGUCUUCCCAAAAUAAAAUAACUGCUCUGAAGGUUGUGAACACAUUUUAGAGAGCCUACUACUUAUUGGGGUAAGUGGUUCUUAUUUUGGUUCUUACAUUUAGGUCUAUGCUCCACUUUGGGGGCCUAAGGCUGCGUGCCCAUGUGGGCAGAGGGACAGAGGGACAGAGGGACAGAGGGACAGAGGGCAGGCUUGCUCUCUGUUCCCAGGGCUCCACAUCUCCCCCAGUCUUGGAGUCAGUGGUCUGUGUCCAGGCUUUACAAGAAAGGCAAGGCUCUUUCCAAUGAAUAUAAGCCAUCUCUCCCCCAAACUGAAUUGCCACUUUUACCAUGUUCUAAAAUCCUGUGUGUGUUUUGGUCUGUUUCUAAACAGUGUCUUCUGUAUUUCAUAUUUUUCAAUUUCCAUCAUCAGCACAUGCCCAAUAACUAAAAGUUCUUUAAAAACAUUUGAAUUGCUGUAAUAUGCUAUUUUGUAUAUCACAAUUUACCAUCAUUGCCUGAUUUUUGAUGAUUUAAUUGUUUACAACUUUUUAGUCUUUUUAAAUUGAAAGUAACAUGUGACCUAAGCAUCCUAAUCAGAUGGGGAACUGUGCAGUCUUACCUGGGACUUGCAGUGAUCAAAAUGUUAGGCAGUGGGGACAUUUGCAAGGUAUGUUUUCUGCCCUUGAGGGAUGUACAGUCUGUACAUAUAGAAGCCUGGCAUAUGACAGCCGCUGGGAUAGAUAACUGUACAAGGGUUUCCCAUAUCCAGGCUGGAGCAAGGAGAAAUGUCAUGUGUCUUAUAUAUGGCAAUAAAUGAAUAGACAAAAGGUUUUAAUUUUUAUGAAGUCCAGUGUAUUUUUUUAUUUCAUAGCUCGUAGAAUUUGCCUCCUCA